rnacentral:rRNA from 1 species
GACGAACGCUGGCGGCGUGCUUAACACAUGCAAGUCGAGCGGUAAGGCCCUUUCGGGGGUACACGAGCGGCGAACGGGUGAGUAACACGUGGGUGACCUGCCCUCAGCUCUGGGAUAAGCCUGGGAAAACUGGGUCUAAAUACUGGAUAUGACUCCACGGUGCAUGUCGUGGGGUGGAAAGCCUUGUGCGGCUGAGGAUGGGCCCGCGGCCUAUCAGCUUGUUGGUGGGGUGANGGCCUACCAAGGCGACGACGGGUAGCCGGCCUGAGAGGGCGACCGGCCACACUGGGACUGAGACACGGCCCAGACUCCUACGGGAGGCAGCAGUGGGGAAUCUUGCGCAAUGGGGCAAAAGCCUGACGCAGCGACGCCGCGUGAGGG